GAUGAACGCUGGCGGCGUGCCUAAUACAUGCAAGUCGAGCGAACAGACGAGGAGCUUGCUCCUCUGACGUUAGCGGCGGACGGGUGAGUAACACGUGGAUAACCUACCUAUAAGACUGGGAUAACUUCGGGAAACCGGAGCUAAUACCGGAUAAUAUAUUGAACCGCAUGGUUCAAUAGUGAAAGACGGUUUUGCUGUCACUUAUAGAUGGAUCCGCGCCGCAUUAGCUAGUUGGUAAGGUAACGGCUUACCAAGGCAACGAUGCGUAGCCGACCUGAGAGGGUGAUCGGACACACUGGAACUGAGACACGGUCCAGACUCCUACGGGAGGCAGCAGUAGGGACUCUUCCGCAAUGGGCGAAAGCUUGACGGAGCAACGCCGCGUGAGUGAUGAAGGUCUUCGGAUCGUAAAACUCUGUUAUUAGGGAAGAACAAAUGUGUAAGUAACUAUGCACGUCUUGACGGUACCUAAUCAGAAAGCCACGGCUAACUACGUG
rnacentral:rRNA from 1 species